rnacentral:rRNA from 1 species
GAUGAACGCUAGCGGCAGGCUUAAUACAUGCAAGUCGUGGGGCAGCACAGGUAGCAAUACUGGGUGGCGACCGGCAAACGGGUGCGGAACACGUACGCAACCUUCCUUUAAGUGGGGGAUAGCCCAGGGAAACUUGGAUUAAUACCCCGUAAGAUUGUGGUGUGGCAUCACACUACAAUGAAAGCUCCGGCACUUAAAGAUGGGCGUGCGGCUGAUUAGGUAGUUGGCGGGGUAACGGCCCACCAAGCCAACGAUCAGUAACUGGUGUGA